ensembl:snoRNA small nucleolar RNA U109
AGGCAUGUGGAAAUGCCUUCUUCUCAUGCCUUGUGGAGCAGGAAUAUAUCCAUGACAUGCUACAUUAAAAAAAGGAGUUUUCAGGGCUGCCAACCUUACAGUAGAGGUUGAGUGGUAGUAUAUUUCUCCUACAUUA